UAUUGUAUUGCGUUAAACGCGUCAUGCAUUCCAUGAAACUUUAUUACAGUGUGUGUGUAAAAGACAUAGAACCACGGCGAGAGGACAAAGCCCCUCGGACCAUAGAACUACAGAGGGUGCACAGGUGUGAGUGGAUGUGUGAACAGAGCGUGCACAUGCCCCCGUUUGAGGACCAGCAACAACUCGUGUUGACAAUUCGGUAAUGAUCCUUCCGCAGGUUCACCUACGGAAA
rnacentral:misc_RNA from 1 species